UACAGAGGGUGCGAGCGUUGUCCGGAAUCACUGGGCGUAAAGCGCGCGCAGGCGGCAGUCUAAGUCCUCUGUGAAAUCACCCGGCUCAACUGGGUGGCUGCGGAGGAGACUGGGCAGCUUGAGGGGCCUAGAGGCCGGUGGAACUCCCGGUGUAGCGGUGAAAUGCGUAGAUAUCAGGAGGAACACCUGCGGUGUAGACGGCUUACUGGACCAUAACUGACGCUGAGGCACGAAAGCGCGGGUAGCAAACAGG
rnacentral:rRNA from 1 species